AUUGAACGCUGGCGGCAGGCCUAACACAUGCAAGUCGAACGGUAACAGGAAACAGCUUGCUGUUUCGCUGACGAGUGGCGGACGGGUGAGUAAUGUCUGGGAAACUGCCUGAUGGAGGGGGAUAACUACUGGAAACGGUAGCUAAUACCGCAUAACGUCGCAAGACCAAAGAGGGGGACCUUUGGGCCUCUUGCCAUCGGAUGUGCCCAGAUGGGAUUAGCUAGUAGGUGGGGUAACGGCUCACCUAGGCGACGAUCCCUAGCUGGACUGAGAGGAUGACCAGCCACACUGGAGCUGGGACGCGGUCCAGACUACUACGGGAGGCAGCAGUGGGGAAUAUUGGACAGUGGGCGCAAGCAUGAUGCAGCCAUGGCACGUGUAUGAAGAAGGCCUUCGGGUUGUAAAGUACUUUCAGCGGGGAUGAAGGGAGUAAAGUUAAUACCUAUGAACAUUGACGGUACCCGCAGAAGAAGCACCGGCUAACUCCGUG
rnacentral:rRNA from 1 species